UACGGAGGGUGCAAGCGUUAUCCGGAUUCACUGGGUUUAAAGGGUGCGUAGGUGGACAGGUAAGUCAGUGGUGAAAUCCUGUAGCUUAACUACAGAACUGCCAUUGAUACUAUCUAUCUUGAAUAUCCUGGAGGUGAGCGGAAUAUGUCAUGUAGCGGUGAAAUGCAUAGAUAUGACAUAGAACACCCAUUGCGAAGGCAGCUCACUACAGGAAUAUUGACGCUGAGGCACGAAAGCGUGGGGAUCAAACAGG
rnacentral:rRNA from 1 species